GUUGGCUGCGUAUUUAUUAAACAUGACUAAUGGAGAAUACGUGUACAUAAUGGAAGAAAAUAACCUGUUUUGUCCAGUAACCUGGCGAAAUGGCGAUAUAAACGAUCCGGUGUUCCUGCAAGCGUUCCACUCUGUCUUAAUUGUGAAUCCAAGUGAGAGCACUGAGAACGCUAGUGUGAAGGUGCAGCUUGGGAAGGAAUUUCUCCAGCGAACUAAGCAAGAUUUCAAUUACACGUAUCCAAUAGCAAGCCAGCCGUUGUUGUACAAAUUCGGCCAAACUGGGGCUUUAAUAGAAGUGACACAAUUAAUCGCGCGUGUGGGUAAACAGCUCAUUUCCUCCUUCCAACGAACCGUAUUGUGGAUACCUAAAUCAAAAGCUGCGCUGCCUUACAUCAAGAGACGACCGUUCUUCGGACUUGCUAACAGCUCUUUCCACAAGUCUAUGCCUGGCUGUCGGCG